CCCCUCUUCGCGGAGGAACGACACAGGACCCUGCGCUGUUCUUUUGUCUGCUCGGCCCUCCCCGGGUUUGCUGCUGGUUCUUCCCGGGUUGGCUGCCGACCCCUCCACCUCCGUGGAAGGGCGGUUCCCCCUGCCACUUUCCCCACUUCCGCGGGGGAGCGGCACACCGCCAGCCGGCUCUCUCGGGGGCUGCUCAGAUGUUCCUCAGAUGUUCCUGGUGCAUGCCGUCUCUCUCCUCCUUUAUAGUCCUCUUCCACCAAUCCCAACUCUGCUACCCACACGCCGAGUAUGCUGCUCUCCUCCAAUCAGGAGCAGGAUCAGCUCCUGCAGGUCAUCACUCAAGUUGGCGAGAGGCAGCUGCGUAGAAGCUGUUUCCUCCUCUCCCAGCGCCAUAUUGUGGGAGAGCAGAUGCAUAGAAUAAGUCUUAAUUCCAGUAACUCAGUCCAGUCCGAGUUGCUCCCCACACAGGAGAGCUCCUCUCCUGGCCCACACUCCACGUGUCUGCCGGGGCCACUACUGGGCUGGGGCUGAGCCUCGAGCCAGGAGCUCAGAGCUUAAUCUGGGCCUCCCAUGACAGGGGGUAGGAAAUCAACCACUUGAGCCAGCCCCUCUGCCCCUCUGGGUUGGCACCUGCAGGAAGCUAAAGCCAUGCGCUGGAGAUGGACG